UACGAAGGGGGCUAGCGUUGCUCGGAAUCAUUGGGCGUAAAGGGUGCGUAGGCGGGUUUUUAAGUCAGGGGUGAAAUCCUGGAGCUCAACUCCAGAACUGCCUUUGAUACUGAAGAUCUUGAGUCCGGGAGAGGUGAGUGGAACUGCGAGUGUAGAGGUGAAAUUCGUAGAUAUUCGCAAGAACACCAGUGGCGAAGGCGGCUCACUGGCCCGGUACUGACGCUGAGGCACGAAAGCGUGGGGAGCAAACAGG
rnacentral:rRNA from 1 species